AUGCACGCUGGCGGCGUGCCUUAUUCCUGCAAGUCGCACGCUGAAGGAAGGAGCUUGCUCUUUCUGGCUGCGUUGCGACCGGGUGAGUAACGCGUAGGUAACCUGCCCGGUAGCGGGGGAUAACUAUUGGAAACGAUAGCUAAUUCCGCAUAACAGUAGAUGUUGCAUGACUUCUAUUUGAAAGGGGCAAUUGCUCCACCACCAGAUGGACCUGCGUUGUAUUAGCUAGUUGGUGUGGUAACGGCUCACUAAGGCGACGAUACAUAGCCGACCUGAGAGGGUGAUCGGCCAAACUGAGUAUGAGAAACGGCCCAGAGACCAACGGGGGGAAGCAGUAGGGAAGCUUCAGCAAGGGACGAAAGUCUGACCGGGAAACGCAGCGUGAGUGAAGAAGGUUUUCGGAUCGUAAAGCGCUGUUGUAAGAAAAGAACGAGUGUGAGGGUAGAAAGUUCAUACUGUGGCGGCAUCUUACCAAAAGGAGACGUCUAACUGCG
rnacentral:rRNA from 1 species